GACUCCCACCCUGCUGCUCCGUGGGCUCACACUCGCUUCUCUGUGAGGGAAUGGGUCAUGCUCCUGUGGCUGAUUUUUCAGUCAAAUCCAGACCGAAAAUUCUAGAAAGAGAGGAGGCUUCAUUUGGAUUUUUUACCUUUUUGCUCUCUCUCUCGGAAUCGUGGGUCCAUUUCGGGCUCGACCCCAUCUCCUGGCAGGAUUCUCUAUAACCGAAACGUGGCGGAUUUUCCCUCUUUUUUCUCCAGCUCCUUAACUGUCGGCUCCCCAGGUGCCCCCAAGACAUUCCUGGCUGAGGUUGAGAGGGGCUUCCCUGCUGAGCAUGGGCGCCUCAGGCCAGGGGCACACAAGGCCCGGUGAGGCUGCAUGUGGGGCUCUCAAAGCCAAGACCCACAGGAGGAAGGAGAGCGAGGUGUGUGCUCCAGAGGGUACCCAAUAGGGCUGAGAGAUGUCCAUGGAUCAGGAAGCAAGACCCUGGAAGAAGGACGGCUCUUGUCUCAGAGGGUAAUCAGGCCCUUACACACACAGAGGUCCAGUGCUUUGCGGAGGAUGUGCAUGGCAAGGCCCGGAGGGAGGUUAUGACUCCCAAAGGGACCUCCCCCCAGGAGAUCUGGAUGGGUGAGAGCCUGGAUCUCCUGCUUCCAGAGCCCCUCAACCCUCCAGAAGGCGGCGUGGAGGUGGACAUGCCAGGUUUGAAACCAAGCUCUGCCACUUGCCUGCUCUGUGACCUUGGAAACAAGAGUUCUCCAAAGUAGAACUGCCCUGAAGUGGCAACAUUUGUCACCCAACCCUCGCCCUCAAGGCCACCUGAAGUGCAAAGGAUUGAGUGUGGAGCCUGAAAGCUGGCUUUGCAGACAGUACCUAGGCCAGGCGCAUGCAGCCUGGCCGAGCCCGGUGGAACCAGUUGGGAGGGGAGCUGGCAGGGCCAGGAUUCUCUCUCCUUUGACCUGGGGCAGGUGAGGCAAAGGCUGGUGGGAAGGUGACUCUGAGAGCCAGUCUCUUCCCCAGGCAUCCACUGCAGAUCCAGAGAGCAGAUGAAAAACAGAAACCAACAUCAAAACACAGGAAUGUGUAAUAAUAGCAGUUGGAGCAGUUCUACGAAUCUGCUGAUGACAAAAUAAUAUUGCUCAAU